rnacentral:lncRNA from 1 species
AAACGACCGUCUCCGCUGCCAUGAGAUGCCGACAGCCUGUGCGCUGGCCGCCACCCCCUGCUCCAUCAGGUGCUGGAAUCUGAGUAAAAGCCUGGGCGCGAGCUCCCAGCCCCGGGGCCUGCCACCGGCUCCACGAAGCGGGCAGCUCCAGCGGCCGCCGGGAGAAGGAAGGGCGACCGGGGGAGACGGGUCGCAGGGACAGCACGUGGCGGAAAGUUAGCCCCGGACUAGCACGCCCCACCCGGAGAAGCCGGCCUGGAAGGGGCUGCGGACCACCAGGCGGAGCGGUGGGCGACCGAAGUGCGGCUGGGCUGGCCUCCUCGUCUCCGCACUGGAAGAAUUGCCCUUCCGCAAGUCUUCCCUUCCCACAUGGGGGCCCUCCAGGCCGCACCUCGGUCGCCCACCGCUUCCCUUGAGAAGGGAGACUAAAGACAGGCAUCUGGAAGCUGUCACUGUGGCGCGCGGGCAGACAGGGGAUCCCAUUGGAGAGGAAGAGCCGUAGUAGUCGCUGCUGCCUUCGGCCGACCCAACGGCCGCCUGCUUGGGAGGAAGAAAAAGAACGCCCCCGCUGAAGAAUUAAGGCAGCCAUUGGUUGCUCUAGGGGAGAUGACUACGGGAAGUGUGAAUACCAGAAGGCAAGAUCACUAGAAACUAUCAUGGAGGCCGAACACCACAGAAUAAAUUCCUGGAAAUGGAACUGGUGGAUGUCACAGGAAUUUGAGACAAAUCUUCAUUUUUUGGCUCCUUCCCCAUAAGUUCCCUCAGUACUUUGUAAUAAUUCCCUCUACAUUUACUUUGUAAUAAUUCCCUCUACCUUCUGGGAGUGUUGUAGAAAUUCUUUUUAUUUGUGUGGACUGCUAUGUGUGAAGAUUAUAAAGUAGAAAUAUAC